GGAUGUGAGGACACUCUGGCUCUGACAUCUGUCACCACAUUGGUCUCCAUUGGUCUCCAGGGUUGAUUUGGCCAAUCUGGUUGGCUAGACAGGUGCCCCCUUCCCCCAUCAUCACUCCAUGUGUGUCCCUCCCAAAGCUCCAUACUUGGUCAAAGAGGACGACCUUCCCAGAUAGAGGAGGACUGUUCUUUGGUCAAGGGUAUACGAGUAGCUGCACUCUGCUGCUAAAACCUCCAAAUAAGCUCUCAAGGUUCAUUUGUAGGAGAACAUAGGGCAGUCAAGGACUCCAGACCCAUCCAAAUGAGGUGCUGCAUGUGGCACUCUUUCUUU
rnacentral:snRNA from 1 species